rnacentral:rRNA from 1 species
CUCUUCUUGUUUAUUUUUUGAAGUAUGACCUGCCCACUGAGUUUUUGAAGGGCCGCGGUAUUUUGACCGUGCAAAGGUAGCAUAAUCAUUAGUUCUUUAAUUGUGGACUGGUAUGAAUGGUUUGACGAGGCACUGACUGUCUUUAUUGGGAUUUAAUAAUUGAAUUUGGGUUUUGGGUAAAAAUACCUAAAUGUUGUUAUGGGACGAGAAGACCCUAUAGAGUUUUAUAUAAUUUUGGUUUGAUGUUGUUUGUUUAUUGGUUUGUUUACUUUAUUAUAUUUUGUUGGGGUGAUGGGAAGAUAUUUUUAACUCUUCUUUAAUUUUUAUACUUGUUUGUAUAUUUUUGAUCCUGUAUUAUUGAUUUUAAGAUUAAAUUACCUUAGGGAUAACAGCGUAAUCUUUUCUGAGAGUUCUUAUUGACGAAAGGGGUUGCGACCUCGAUGUUGGAUUAAGAUGAAUUUUUGGUGUAGAAGCUUUAAAUAGUAUUAUUAGGUCUGUUCGACCUUUAAAAUCUU